AAAGAUAAUCAUAAGGAAUCAAUAAAAUUUGAAUUUUAUUAAUUUUAAACAAUUAUGACAGUUAUCCUAAGUCAAAAUAGGCAAAAAAUCCCGAAACAGCCUCCUUCUGACGCUCGAACUCGCCGAGUUCCUCUAUGGACUCGCUGAGUAGGAGCAACUCACCGAGUCCACAUUGGAACUCGUCGAGUUCAUCAGGUAGGGAGCAAAAAAACGGUUUUUGAAGCUUGAACAAAUAACCAAGGUAUCAAUACAAUAGAAACCAAUCAAUGCUCUGAUACCAUUGAUGGGUUUUGGCCAUAAGAAUAUCCUAUGUGCUCAUGCAACCCUAAUGCUUGGAUCUAGGUUUCUCUAUUGUACAUGCAAUUCAUCCAAGACUUUAAACCCUAGUUCUAGCAUACAAUUAAUCAUAUUAACAUGUGGAAGGGUUUUUAGAUCUUACCUUGAUUGUUAUGUAACAAUAACAAUCACAAAUCCUCCUUGUAAUGACUUUAGAAAGCUUAGAGUCACAAAUGUCACUCCUCUAAUGGUUCACAAACACCAAGAGCAAGAGGAUGAAGAAUAAGGAGAAAGGAGGCUGCCCAAAAC
rnacentral:lncRNA from 1 species